rnacentral:rRNA from 1 species
GGGAAUAUUGCACAAUGGGCGCAAGCCUGAUGCAGCCAUGCCGCGUGUAUGAAGAAGGCCUUCGGGUUGUAAAGUACUUUCAGCGGGGAGGAAGGGAGUAAAGUUAAUACCUUUGCUCAUUGACGUUACCCGCAGAAGAAGCACCGGCUAACUCCGUGCCAGCAGCCGCGGUAAUACGGAGGGUGCAAGCGUUAAUCGGAAUUACUGGGCGUAAAGCGCACGCAGGCGGUUUGUUAAGUCAGAUGUGAAAUCCCCGGGCUCAACCUGGGAACUGCAUCUGAUACUGGCAAGCUUGAGUCUCGUAGAGGGGGGUAGAAUUCCAGGUGUAGCGGUGAAAUGCGUAGAGAUCUGGAGGAAUACCGGUGGCGAAGGCGGCCCCCUGGACGAAGACUGACGCUCAGGUGCGAAAGCGUGGGGAG